rnacentral:rRNA from 1 species
GGAUCAUUACCGAGUGAGGGCUGCCUUCGGGCGCCCAACCUCCCACCCGUGAAUACCUUACCACUGUUGCUUCGGCGAGGAGCCCCUUCCGGGGGGCGAGUCGCCGGGGACCACAUGAACUUCUUGAUUGUAGAGUUGCGUCUGAGCCUGAAAUAUAAAUCAGUCAAAACUUUCAACAAUGGAUCUCUUGGUUCCGGCAUCGAUGAAGAACGCAGCGAACUGCGAUAAGUAAUGUGAAUUGCAGAAUUCAGUGAAUCAUCGAGUCUUUGAACGCACAUUGCGCCCCCUGGCAUUCCGGGGGGCAUGCCUGUCCGAGCGUCAUUGCUGCCCUUCAAGCCCGGCUUGUGUGUUGGGUCGUCGUCCCCUCCGGGGGACGGGCCCGAAAGGCAGCGGCGGCACCGCGUCCGGUCCUCGAGCGUAUGGGGCUUUGUCACCCGCUCGAUAAGGACCGGCCGGGCGCCAGCCGGCGUCUCCAACCUUUUUUUCUCAGGUUGACCUCGGAUCAGGUAGGGAUACCCGCUGAACUUAAGCAUAU